GAUGAACGCUGGCGGCGUGCUUAACACAUGCAAGUCGAACGGAAAGGCCCAAGCUUGCUUGGGUACUCGAGUGGCGAACGGGUGAGUAACACGUGGGUGAUCUGCCCUGCACUUCGGGAUAAGCCUGGGAAACUGGGUCUAAUACCGGAUAGGACGAUGGUUUGGAUGCCAUUGUGGAAAGUUUUUUCGGUGUGGGAUGAGCUCGCGACCUAUCAGCUUGUUGGUGGGGUAAUGGCCUACCAAGGCGUCGACGGGUAGCCGGCCUGAGAGGGUGUACGGCCACAGUGGGACUGAGAUACGGCCCAGACUCCUACGGGAGGCAGCAGUGGGGAAUAUUGCACAAUGGGCGCAAGCCUGAUGCAGCGACGCCGCGUGGGGGAUGACGGCCUUCGGGUUGUAAACUCCUUUCGCUAGGGACGAAGCGUUUUUGUGACGGUACCUGGAGAAGAAGCACCGGCUAACUACGUG
rnacentral:rRNA from 1 species